rnacentral:rRNA from 1 species
CACGUAGGGUGCGAGCGUUGUCCGGAAUUAUUGGGCGUAAAGGGCUCGUAGGCGGUCCGUCGCGUCGGGAGUGAAAUCCCCGGGCUCAACCCGGGAACUGCGUCCGAUACUGGUAGGCUUGAAUUCGGGAGAGGGAUGCGGAAUUCCAGGUGUAGCGGUGAAAUGCGUAGAUAUCUGGAGGAACACCGGUGGCGAAGGCGGCAUCCUGGACCGACAUUGACGCUGAGGCGCGAAAGCCAGGGGAGCAAACGGG